rnacentral:rRNA from 1 species
UACAGAGGGUGCGAGCGUUUAAUCGGAAUUACUGGGCGUAAAGCGUGCGUAGACGGUUUCGUAAGUCGGGUGUGAAAUCCCCGGGCUCAACCUGGGAAUUGCAUUCGAAACUGCGAGGCUAGGGUACGGAAGAGGGAAGCGGAAUUUCUGGUGUAGCGGUGAAAUGCGUAGAUAUAGGAAGGAACACCAGUGGCGAAGGCGACCACCUGGACUGAUACUGACACUGAGGUGCGAAAGCGUGGGGAGCAAACAGG